AAUACUUUUUUUUUGAGACACGGUCUGGCUCUGUUGCCCAGGCUGCAGUGCGGUGGUGUGACCUUGGCUCACUGCAACCUCUACCUCCUGGGCUCAAGCCAUCCUCCCACCUCAGCCUCCAGAGUAGCUGGGACUACAGACACAUGCCACCACGUCUGGAUAAUUUUUGUCUUUUUUUUUUGUAGAGAUGGGUUUUCCCCAUUGUCUCGUCUGGUCUUGAACGCCUGAGCUCAAGCCAUUCGCCUGCCUCGGCCUCUCAAAGUGCUGGGAUUACAGGCAUAAGCCACCAUGCCUGGCCUCAAAAGAAUUAAAACGGUUAAUGAGUUAAAACAAGAUUAAGUCUGUACAUUAUAUAAUGUAGAAGCUUCUGUGGAAAACUCCCCAGCCCUAUGUGGACGACAUCACAUCUGAUUUAUCCUUGUGGUCUACACUGCUGGGUGCUCAGCCUUCUCCUGAGAGAUGCUGUGAAACUUCUCUACCACCUGGAACAGGAGAAGAGAGGCCCACGUGGGGGCAGAGACCUCUGUCCAGAGUCCAGUGGCAGCUGGAGGUGAACAUCAGCGAUACAGAAGUCAAAUGGAGGCAUCAACACAGGACGGUUAUGGCGGAAACGGUGCGCAGUUUCUUACAGUCAGCUGAGAGUGAAAAAAAAUCAUGGGAAAAAAGAACACAAAUAAAGCAAUCCUUAAAUGCCUUAAAGGAAUGAUCAACAUUCUGGUAAUAUUUUUGAAGUGAAACAAUUUCACGGUGUAUGAAGGCCUUGAACGUGCUUUGCUGUCUUUCUAUCGUUUUACGUGUAACAUGACAAGGCGUGAGGCCUGCAUUGGCGUCACCCUCAGCCCGUCCUUCUUUCCUUUGGAUCAAGGACUCUGACUUUCAGGCCGUCAGCUGCUCUGCUUUCAGAGGUGAUAAAUUACUUUGGAAAGAAUUACUCCCUUGCCUCUUGCAAAAACAAGACAUAGGUGGGUGUUAAUUCAUACUUGAGGGUUAUCAAUGGAAAAGUAUAAACGUAUGGCCCUGUUUCCACAAGGACAGGCAUGAUUGAGGGCCGGCAGGAUCUAGGAGCUUCCAUCAGGCCUUUGACAAAGAGCGCUCGCUCGGGGGUCACUGCGUGUCAGGAGGGGCUGAGUUACCGCUUCUCAUCUUCCACUUGCACCCCGACAGAGUGGUAUUCCCGCAGACCGCGGCUCUCCGUGUCAGAAUCUGUGGCCGUUUCCACCUAAUUCAACAGAGAACGUCUUAUUUUAGAACUGAAACAUGGGGCCUGGGCAAGGGACUAUUUUGUUGUUGUUGUGGAUUUGCUGUAAUUAAUUACGCAUUUGUUUAAUUAAUGCAGCGGUGCACUUGACCCAGUAAAACCGCAGAGAGGGAAAUGCAUUCACACUGGAGUAAUUACAUCGCUCCUGCGUCUCAUCACAUUUUACAUAACUACCUGAACUCAAGGCUGCACUUUGGUCUUUUAAAUGUAUGCAAAUAAAACUGCUUAGUUCAGCUCAGGCAAAAAAUAGGUGUUGUUGAACUGCAUUAUAACGGGACUUAAAAGCUCUUAUCACGCCCUAUGGUGAACCAAGUACAGCAUGAACCAAACAUAGCUAAUGACAACAAAUAAGCGAUUUAAUAGACUUAUACUGAUGGCUGCAUCCACAUACAGAAAGACACAGAAAGGAAUUUCAGCACUGAUGAGAAACAGAGGCAAACUCUCCACCUUCAUCUCCAUAGAGCUGUCUCACAUCUGCUAAGAGGAUGGCCAGCAGGGUGACGUCAGAUCAGAACAGAAAUCAUGUAUUCCACAGAGAAUUCUGAUUGUGGCUGUAUUUGCCAAAAAGUCCCCACAAACCCAACAAGCGUUGCAAUGAUCAUCAGCUAUGUGAAGUUAUCCCGCAAGGGAAUUCUAGUACAGUACGUUUUCUAAAAAAAAAAAAACAAAACCAAACCAAGUAGGAAAACUGUGAAACCAAAGGUUAGUUAAGCCAUUGAUAUGAUUCCAGGCACUCAGUCAUUCCUCUUUCCAGAAAAGUAUUACCUAUUGUAUCAAAAGGACUUUUGAGCCCUCUCUGAAGUGUCAUAGCUAAGUUAUAAAAUCUCUCUCUUCUUAAAAAUAUUACUGAUCACUACAAGGAAAAGGUGCAAAGCAUGAAAUACUUCUGACCCUGUCCCCUGUGAGGCAAGAGAGAGGAGCUGCACGUUAACCUUUGAGUUGCAGUUUGUGACUAUCCUAAGGUUAAGCCUGUGUCAACGAGGACUGGCUCAGAUUUGUGGCUAAGAGAAGUACUGAUGGUAACAGCGAAGACUUAUUUGGUGCGUACCCUGCCCCAGGCACUAUGCUGAGGUUCCAGCGUUAUCACGUGUAAUCCACACAAUAACCCCAAGGAUGUUUCCAGCCCCAGGAGAGAGCUGGGGGGAUCAGAGGAGGGGGGUGACUUGCUCAGGAGCGCCCCCUGGUUGGGGCCAGGGCUAGGGCUCUUGCCCGGAUCUCUCUGACCCCAGAGCCGUGUGCGGCACAGAAGACAGAGCGCGAGAAAACCCUGGAGCUCUCGGCCGCCGUGGAUCCAGGGGAACGGACAGAGACGUCCACUUUCGCCGGGUGGAAUUCUGAAGACAGGCGCAGAAGCGGUCCCUAGAUCGGGAUGCGUGUUUGCAGAAGCUGACCCUAGACUGGGAUGCGUGUUCUGAUAGCUGUGUGAGACGGGCUACAGGAGGAAGAACAUUCUUGAGUGAAGAUCCUGGCCUUCCUGUCAGAAUUUACCAUUCCCGUUUCUAGUUUUAAGUGGGUCACGACUUUAUUAAACCUUACCUUGCUCGACAUAAACAUGAUUAGUGUUAUUUUACACAAAGGAUUGUAAUACAAUUAAUACAUUUAAAAUUCCAUGUCUGUACAUAUGGAGCUGCCUCGUGUUUUAAGUGCAAAGGAUUCCAUUUUAUGAGUAUAGCCUAGUGCAUUUAAUGAGCCUUCAGUGCAGGGGAAAUUUGGUUAUUUCUAGUUUUCUGCCAUUAUAAAUGAUGCUGCUAUAUAAACACAUGUCUGUACUUGUGUGAAAACUUCUCUGAAUAUAUUCACCAGAUGGGAGGUCUGGGUCAGAGGUAUUUGCACUUUAUAAUUUUGGUAGAUAUUGCCAAAUCUGAUAUGAGUGAAAUAAAUGAAUACUUUUAAAGA